rnacentral:rRNA from 1 species
AACGAACGCUGGCGGCAGGCCUAACACAUGCAAGUCGAACGAUACCAUCGGGUAUAUUGGUGCACGGCUGCGGAACGCGGGGGGACUUGCCCUUGUGUUGGGAAUAACUCGCCGGAAGGGGUUCUAAUACCGGAAAGGUUCCUCGUACCAAAGAUCUAUCGACUUUGGAUGGGCGGGCGUUGGGUGAGCUUGUUGGUAGGGUAAAAGCCUACGAAGGCGACGAGCCAUAGAUGGUCUGAGAGGAUGAUCCGCCACACUGGGACUGAGACACGGCGCAGACUACUACGGGAGGCGGCAGUGGGGAAUAUUGGACAAUGGGCGAAAGCAUGAUGCAGCUAUGCCGCGUGAGUGAUGAAGGCCUUAGGGUUGUAAAGCUAUUUUACCCGGGAUGAUAAUGACGGUACCGGGAGAAUAAGCUCCGGCUAACUCCGUG